rnacentral:ncRNA from 1 species
UGUUCUCAGGGCGGAGUGAAAUUCUCCACCGGUGGUGAUUUUAAUAUAAGUCCACGAGCACAAUGGUGUUGAUUUGGUGAGAUUCCAAAACCGACGGUGACAGUCCGGAUGGAAGAGAAU